rnacentral:rRNA from 1 species
UACGUAGGGUGCAAGCGUUGUCCGGAAUUAUUGGGCGUAAAGAGCUCGUAGGCGGUCUGUUACGUCGGCUGUGAAAACCUGGGGCUCAACCCCGGGCCUGCAGCCGAUACGGGCAGACUAGAAUUCGGUAGGGGAGACUGGAAUUCCUGGUGUAGCGGUGAAAUGCGCAGAUAUCAGGAGGAACACCGGUGGCGAAGGCGGCUAUCUGGACGACAACUGACGCUGAGGCGCGAAAGCGUGGGGAUCAAACAGG